rnacentral:misc_RNA from 1 species
UCUGCAUUUAACUUGGAAACCAGAAUUAUCAAUGUCGGACUCGUUACGGAUAACAACAAUGCAAACCGCGAAACCCCAGAGCUUGCUAUUAGCCCAGUUUGAAGGCAGUUGGAUUGUUGUUGAAAAUCCGCUGGCUUGAUUGCCAAACCACUUUGGAAUAUAACUGCCAGGGAAGCAAACGCUAGAUUCCCCUGCUAGUACAGAAGGCGUCUGCACCACCACAAUCUUUUUGCAUAAAAAUUCAAAGAGAGACAGUGAAUAAAAAUUCAAAAAUUCAAAGAGAGAGAAAGACCUGAUUAUAUAGUCUUUUUGCAUAAAGCUGGAAU